rnacentral:tRNA from 1 species
GGAGGGGUGGCAGAGCGGACGAAUGCGGCGGUCUUGAAAACCGUUGAAGCGCAAGCUUCCGUGGGUUCGAAUCCCACCCCCUCCGCCA